UUAUCAAAAAAUGUGAGAGUGAAGGAGGUUUGAUUUGUAAUCUGGCAUUUGGGUGCCACUUUUAAGAAUCAACAUGCAAGGUCUGUGCAGGAGCUUAGAUUGGUUUUGUUUGUUUUUAAAGAUAUAUUUAACAGUUUAUCUCGGUGCACUAAGGAUAUAGCAAUUUUGAAAGACUUAAAAUUAAAAGCAAAAUUACAUUUUAAUUCUGACAUAUGCCAGCUAAAAUGAGGAUGGAAAAUAAAUACAUAAAUAAAUACUGGCUCAAAUGUGGCAUGUGUUGUAAAUUGGGCAAUGAGACAUUCACUUUCAAGCACUAUCCUUUAGCGCUGCUGACAACAACAACUUAUGAGAUGGUAAAUCAAGGAGGAGUGUCAUAUUUGGAACACAGGCGCUGUAUGACCUAUAGAUUGAACAAUAACAAUUGCCGCAAAUACAACCAUGUUGGUAGAAUGUUGAAUUACAUUACAGUUUAUUACAAAAGAUUUUUGAAUUUAAUUUGAUGAUAAACACUGGAAGUAAAAAAAAAAAAA